GAUGAACGCUAGCUGGAGGCUUAAUACAUGCAAGUCGAGCGGGAUUGGGUAGCAAUACUCAUGAGAGCGGCGAACGGGUGAGUAACGCGUACACGACCUACCUCUGACAGGGGGAUAGCCCUGGGAAACCGGGAUUAAUACCGCAUAUUAUUCAGGAAAAUAAGAUUCUGAAUGAAAGUUCAGGCGGUCAGAGAUGGGUGUGCGUCUGAUUAGCUAGUUGGUAAGGUAACGGCUUACCAAGGCGAUGAUCAGUAGGGGGCGUGAGAGCGUGGUCCCCCACACGGGUACUGAGACACGGACCCGACUCCUACGGGAGGCUG
rnacentral:rRNA from 1 species